rnacentral:rRNA from 1 species
GAUGAACGCUGGCGGCGUGCCUAAUACAUGCAAGUCGAGCGAACGGACGAGAAGCUUGCGUCUCUGAUGUUAGCGGCGGACGGGUGAGUAACACGUGGAUAACCUACCUAUAAGACUGGGAUAACUUCGGGAAACCGGAGCUAAUACCGGAUAAUAUUUUGAACCGCAUGGUUCAAAAGUGAAAGACGGUCUUGCUGUCACUUAUAGAUGGAUCCGCGCUGCAUUAGCUAGUUGGUAAGGUAACGGCUUACCAAGGCGACGAUGCGUAGCUGACCUGAGAGGAUGAUCAGCCACACUGGAACGGAGACAGGGUCCAGACUCCUACGGGAGGCAGCAGUGGGGAAUAUUGGACAAUGGGCGCAAGCCUGAUCCAGCCAUACCGCGUGGGUGAAGAAGGUCUUCGGGUUGUAAAGCCCUUUUGUUGGGAAAGAAAAGCAGCAGGUUAAUACCCCGCUGUUCUGACGGUACCGAAAGAAUAAGCACCGGCUAACUUCGUG